rnacentral:rRNA from 1 species
GAUGAACGCUGGCGGCGUGCCUAAUACAUGCAAGUAGAACGCUGAAGGAGGAGCUUGCUUCUCCGGAUGAGUUGCGAACGGGUGAGUAACGCGUAGGUAACCUGCCUGGUAGCGGGGGAUAACUAUUGGAAACGAUAGCUAAUACCGCAUAACAGUAGAUAUCGCAUGAUAUCUGCUUGAAAGGUGCAAUUGCAUCACUACCAGAUGGACCUGCGUUGUAUUAGCUAGUUGGUGAGGUAACGGCUCACCAAGGCGACGAUACAUAGCCGACCUGAGAGGGUGAUCGGCCACACUGGGACUGAGACACGGCCCAGACUCCUACGGGAGGCAGCAGUAGGGAAUCUUCGGCAAUGGACGGAAGUCUGACCGAGCAACGCCGCGUGAGUGAAGAAGGGUUUCGGAUCGUAAAGCUCUGUUGUAAGAGAAGAACGAGUGUGAGAGUGGAAAGUUCACACUGUGACGGUAUCUUACCAGAAAGGGACGGCUAACUACGUG